CGUUCUUCUAGGGAUUAUGGACGAUAUCGACUCCUUAUUUGUUUUUCUAAAUUGACCCAUAAAUGUUGAAUAAUAUUCAGUUCUGGGGACUGUAGUGGCCAGAUAAGUUGUUCAACUUCCCUAGAAUGUUCCUCAUGCCAUUAAGCAACAA